rnacentral:rRNA from 1 species
AGUGAACGCUGGCGGUAGGCCUAACACAUGCAAGUCGAGGGGUAGAAGGCUUUCGGGUCUUUGAGACCGGCGCACGGGUGCGUAACGCGUAUGCAAUCUGCCUUGUACAGGGGAUAGCCCGGAGAAAUCCGGAUUAAUACCCCAUAGUAUAUAGAUGUGGCAUCACACUUAUAUUAAAGAUUUAUCGGUACAAGAUGAGCAUGCGUCCCAUUAGCUAGUUGGUGUGGUAACGGCAUACCAAGGCAAUGAUGGGUAGGGGUCCUGAGAGGGAGAUCCCCACACUGUGACUGAGACACGGACCAGACUCCUACGGGAGGCAGCAGUGAGGAAUAUUGGACAAUGGGCGCAAGCCUGAUCCAGCCAUGCCGCGUGCAGGAUGACGGUCCUAUGGAUUGUAAACUGCUUUUUGUACGGGAAGAAACCCCCGUUUACGUGUAAAGGGGCUGACGGUACCGUAAGAAUAAGGAUCGGCUAACUCCGUGCCAGCAGCCGCGGUAAUACGGAGGAUCCAAGCGUUAUCCGGAAUCAUUGGGUUUAAAGGGUCCGUAGGCGGUUUUGUAAGUCAGUGGUGAAAUCCGGCAGCUCAACUGUCGAACUGCCAUUGAUACUGCAGGACUUGAAUUAUUGUGAAGUAACUAGAAUAUGUAGUGUAGCGGUGAAAUGCUUAGAUAUUACAUGGAAUACCCAUUGCGAAGGCAGGUUACUAACAGUGGAUUGGCGCUGAUGGACGAAAGCGUGGGGAGCGAACAGGAUUAGAUACCCUGGUAG